UAGGGAAUCUUCGGCAAUGGACGAAAGUCUGACCGAGCAACGCCGCGUGAGUGAAGAAGGUUUUCGGAUCGUAAAACUCUGUUGUUAGAGAAGAACAAGGACGUUAGUAACUGAACGUCCCCUGACGGUAUCUAACCAGAAAGCCACGGCUAACUACGUGCCAGCAGCCGCGGUAAUACGUAGGUGGCAAGCGUUGUCCGGAUUUAUUGGGCGUAAAGCGAGCGCAGGCGGUUUCUUAAGUCUGAUGUGAACGCCCCCGGCUCAACCGGGGAGGGUCAUUGGAAACUGGGAGACUUGAGUGCAGAAGAGGAGAGUGGAAUUCCAUGUGUAGCGGUGAAAUGCGUAGAUAUAUGGAGGAACACCAGUGGCGAAGGCGGCUCUCUGGUCUGUAACUGACGCUGAGGCUCGAAAGCGUGGGGAGCAAACAGG
rnacentral:rRNA from 1 species